UUUCUGGUAAGCACAUACCUUGCUUCUAAUUUGAGAUAUAGCUAAGAACAAGACAGGGCAGGGGAAAAUGCUUGAUCUUGCUAUAAAGUACAAAGUACACGACCAGAGAGAGCUCAUUAAAGUCAGAAAAUACCUUAUGUGAAAUUUUGUGAGAGUCUCUGACUAACUCUACUCUUGUGAUAGUCUACUUUGGAAUUCAAAUACUACAAAAAUACUCAUUUUUUCCCUCUGUAUUUCCCCGAGCUCUGAGAUCACUCAUUUCUGUCUCUGGUUCAUCCUCUCUUUUCCUGCUUUUUGCACACCUCAAAACUCCUUCAAGUUCAGCCUACCCAUGCCUGGCCCUUAACUAUCCUCUCUUGUGUUUUAUUUUUUUUUAUUAUUAUUUUUUUAAUGUAAGCUUUAGUUCACUGCUAGAGAUUUUCCUCGAGACUUUCUUUACUCUUUCAAUGGAAAUGUGGCUUCCUCAAAUGGCACUAUAGAUGUAGAUUUGGAUGUGGAUAUAGAUGAUAGACUGUUGCCUUCUUUUGUGAUUUUUGUGAACUCAGAAAGGCUCCACCUGUUCUCAGCAAUUCAGUGCCUUUUACAUUUCAACUAUGUCCUGCCUUUGCUUCAUUUGGACAUUGGGUCCAUUCUACUGUUCACAUUACUCUCUUCCUAUUUCUUAUCUCCCACUAAGCAAUUAGCAACUUAAAUAUUCACAUUGAACAUAAGAUGCCAAACCAAAGUUCCUUACUCAACAUACUACCGGUGACCUUAACUUCCACUUCCUAACACUAUUCUUAUUACUCUCACAUCCUGGAUUUUGUCAUUACCAACCCAGCUCCAUUGCAUAGAUUGCCGACUUGUUUUUAUCUGACACUGAGCUGACAUUUUUUUUUGGUUACAGUUGCUACAUCUUAGUCAUUUUUUCAGGAACAAGCAUUUUCUCUCUCCUCCUUUGUCCCCUUUGCAUAGGUUGGUGCAGUAGAGAGAGUAAGAGGCAGAAGGUCUGAGUCUCUGUCUUCUUCCACCACGAGGUAGCUGAGUGACCUUAGUUCACUUCUUUGGUUUUUCAGCUUCUUUUUUUGCACAAUGGAAACAAAAUAAAAACCUAUUUCACAAGAUGAAGUGAAUUCUCAAUGGACUGAGUUGAAGUUCUGGUGAAUAUUAUUGAACCUAUAAAUCGUCUUGAAGUUGUUGUUUGUGGUUGCAAUCACAAGGGAAAUAUUUUUAACCAAGCACCAUAAUGAGCAGUCACCAAGCAUGCCCAGUCAUCUUGUAACUGUAAAAUGAUGACAUGUUUGUAGGCGUGUGAUAGGGAAGUUCGUCAAGAAGACGUGACCACUGGUUUGACCUGUGGGCUGGACCUGGCAUUGGAAGGCUGCUCACUCCACCCCUUCCCCCAUCCUUGGAAUGUGUGCUCCACUUGCCUUUCCUGAGCUAGGAGCUACCCAAGGACACAGCCUUGAGAUAGUAAUGUGGUGUUGCAACCAUCUGGACUAUGCAUGUGACUGAACGUUUUAAAGCCUCUCUGUAAACUUACAAGAUUUGGAAGUGGGUCAGAAAUCUACUUGUCUUGAGGCUGCCCAAGACAAGGCAUGUGGGUCGAUCCCCCCUGCCACCUGCCAGUCUGGAGCAACCUGCCUCUUUCUUCCGUCUCACCUGAGCCUCCGUGUCCAGGGGCAAAUUCCAGAUUAUGCCCAGCAAACUUUUGAGGAGGAGCAUAUGGAAAGUUCUAGGAGGUCUGACCAAUGCAGAUCUACUACACAGCCUUCGAUGGCUCCUGAAUACUUACUGACUGCAGGUCUAACCAUGUGUUCUGAGCGCCCUGCAGUUGUUGGUAAGCAAGGAGAGACCGACGAAUUCACCACCAGGGACGGACGCCAUGUGGCACAGAGGAGCUGGUACUGGCUCACUGAUUGGAUCUCAGACAGGCAUAGGCUGUAGGUCGAGCCGCUAACUGUGAACCUGAAACUGCUUAUCCCCCUCUGGAACCUCCACCUCUGCCUAAGUCACCUCGUGUGGCUGACCAUUUUUAUCCUUUCCUGCCCACACUGACCUGUCACCGUCACACAUCCCUUUCUCCUUGUCCCAACACAACUGCCCCUUCUAGGCAGGGACUCUGUGCUCCCUUCUACCAGUGAGCCUCAAACCAGGUGACCCUGCCCUUAGCCAGAACGAAGGCCAAGUCUUCUUUUUUUGAAUGAUCUCUUGCCUCUUGGAAAUACUGUGUGGUAUAAAAAUAAAAUCAAAUUCUAAAGGACUUGGCUUCCUUUCAAGAAAGUGCGAAACUGUUAGUUGGUAUAUCAGCCAACUGCUAGUUGGUAACUGGGCUUUUGAGUAUUAAUAAUGGAACAUAAAUCUAAGGAUGGAAGAGCAGAGAGUAAGCAGAUUUUAUCAAUGGACAAGUUUGACAAUGUGAAAAUAUAUUAUCUUCUCCACGGAGGCUGAUCCAC